UGAACGCUGGCGGCAUGCCUUACACAUGCAGGUCGAACGGUAACGCGGGGCAACCUGGCGACGAGUGGCGAACGGGUGAGUAAUAUAUCGGAACGUGCCCAGUAGUGGGGGAUAGCCCGGCGAAAGCCGGAUUAAUACCGCAUACGACCUAUGGGUGAAAGCGGGGGAUCGCAAGACCUCGCGCUAUUGGAGCGGCCGAUAUCAGAUUAGCUAGUUGGUGGGGUAAAGGCCUACCAAGGCGACGAUCUGUAGCUGGUCUGAGGGGACGACCAGCCACACUGGGACUGAGACACGGCCCAGACUCCUACGGGAGGCAGCAGUGGGGAAUUUUGGACAAUGGGCGCAAGCCUGAUCCAGCCA
rnacentral:rRNA from 1 species